rnacentral:rRNA from 1 species
AGCGAACGCUGGCGGCAGGCCUAACACACGCAAGUCGAACGAACCCUUCGGGGUUAGUGGCGGACGGGUGAGUAACACGUGGGAACGUGCCUUUAGGUUCGGAAUAACUCAGGGAAACUUGUGCUAAUACCGAAUGUGCCCUUCGGGGGAAAGAUUUAUCGCCUUUAGAGCGGCCCGCGUCUGAUUAGCUAGUUGGUGAGGUAAUGGCUCACCAAGGCUACGAUCAGUAGCUGGUCUGAGAGGAUGACCAGCCACAUUGGGACUGAGACACGGCCCAAACUCCUACGGGAGGCAGCAGUGGGGAAUCUUGCGCAAUGGGCGAAAGCCUGACGCAGCCAUGCCGCGUGGAUGAUGAAGGUCUUAGGAUUGUAAAAUCCUUUCACCGGUGAAGAUAAUGACUGUAGCCGGAGAAGAAGCCCCGGCUAACUUCGUGCCAGCCGCCGCAGUAA